rnacentral:rRNA from 1 species
CGGGACACGUGGUAUCCUGUCUGAAUAUGGGGGGACCAUCCUCCAAGGCUAAAUACUCCUGACUGACCGAUAGUGAACCAGUACCGUGAGGGAAAGGCGAAAAGAACCCCGGCGAGGGGAGUGAAAAAGAACCUGAAACCGUGUACGUACAAGCAGUGGGAGCCUCUUUAUGGGGUGACUGCGUACCUUUUGUAUAAUGGGUCAGCGACUUAUAUUCUGUAGCAAGGUUAACCGAAUAGGGGAGCCGAAGGGAAACCGAGUCUUAACUGGGCGUUAAGUUGCAGGGUAUAGACCCGAAACCCGGUGAUCUAGCCAUGGGCAGGUUGAAGGUUGGGUAACACUAACUGGAGGACCGAACCGACUAAUGUUGAAAAAUUAGCGGAUGACUUGUGGCUGGGGGUGAAAGGCCAAUCAAACCGGGAGAUAGCUGGUUCUCCCCGAAAGCUAUUUAGGUAGCGCCUCGUGAAUUCAUCUCCGGGGGUAGAGCACUGUUUCGGCAAGGGGGUCAUCCCGACUUACCAACCCGAUGCAAACUGCGAAUACCGGAGAAUGUUAUCACGGGAGACACACGGCGGGUGCUAACGUCCGUCGUGAAGAGGGAAACAACCCAGACCGCCAGCUAAGGUCCCAAAGUCAUGGUUAAGUGGGAAACGAUGUGGGAAGGCCCAGACAGCCAGGAUGUUGGCUUAGAAGCAGCCAUCAUUUAAAGAAAGCGUAAUAGCUCACUGGUCGAGUCGGCCUGCGCGGAAGAUGUAACGGGGCUAAACCAUGCACCGAAGCUGCGGCAGCGACACUAUGUGUUGUUGGGUAGGGGAGCGUUCUGUAAGCCUGUGAAGGUGUACUGUGAGGUAUGCUGGAGGUAUCAGAAGUGCGAAUGCUGACAUAAGUAACGAUAAAGCGGGUGAAAAGCCCGCUCGCCGGAAGACCAAGGGUUCCUGUCCAACGUUAAUCGGGGCAGGGUGAGUCGACCCCUAAGGCGAGGCCGAAAGGCGUAGUCGAUGGGAAACAGGUUAAUAUUCCUGUACUUGGUGUUACUGCGAAGGGGGGACGGAGAAGGCUAUGUUGGCCGGGCGACGGUUGUCCCGGUUUAAGCGUGUAGGCUGGUUUUCCAGGCAAAUCCGGAAAAUCAAGGCUGAGGCGUGAUGACGAGGCACUACGGUGCUGAAGCAACAAAUGCCCUGCUUCCAGGAAAAGCCUCUAAGCAUCAGGUAACAUCAAAUCGUACCCCAAACCGACACAGGUGGUCAGGUAGAGAAUACCAAGGCGCUUGAGAGAACUCGGGUGAAGGAACUAGGCAAAAUGGUGCCGUAACUUCGGGAGAAGGCACGCUGAUAUGUAGGUGAAGUCCCUUGCGGAUGGAGCUGAAAUCAGUCGAAGAUACCAGCUGGCUGCAACUGUUUAUUAAAAACACAGCACUGUGCAAACACGAAAGUGGACGUAUACGGUGUGACGCCUGCCCGGUGCCGGAAGGUUAAUUGAUGGGGUUAGCGGUAACGCGAAGCUCUUGAUCGAAGCCCCGGUAAACGGCGGCCGUAACUAUAACGGUCCUAAGGUAGCGAAAUUCCUUGUCGGGUAAGUUCCGACCUGCACGAAUGGCGUAAUGAUGGCCAGGCUGUCUCCACCCGAGACUCAGUGAAAUUGAACUCGCUGUGAAGAUGCAGUGUACCCGCGGCAAGACGGAAAGACCCCGUGAACCUUUACUAUAGCUUGACACUGAACAUUGAGCCUUGAUGUGUAGGAUAGGUGGGAGGCUUUGAAGUGUGGACGCCAGUCUGCAUGGAGCCGACCUUGAAAUACCACCCUUUAAUGU